AGAGUUUGAUCCUGGCUCAGAUUGAACGCUGGCGGCAGGCCUAACACAUGCAAGUCGAACGGUAACAGGAAGAAGCUUGCUUCUUUGCUGACGAGUGGCGGACGGGUGAGUAAUGUCUGGGAAACUGCCUGAUGGAGGGGGAUAACUACUGGAAACGGUAGCUAAUACCGCAUAACGUCGCAAGACCAAAGAGGGGGACCUUCGGGCCUCUUGCCAUCGGAUGUGCCCAGAUGGGAUUAGCUAGUAGGUGGGGUAACGGCUCACCUAGGCGACGAUCCCUAGCUGGUCUGAGAGGAUGACCAGCCACACUGGAACUGAGACACGGUCCAGACUCCUACGGGAGGCAGCAGUGGGGAAUAUUGCACAAUGGGCGCAAGCCUGAUGCAGCCAUGCCGCGUGUAUGAAGAAGGCCUUCGGAUUGUAAAGUACUUUCAGCGGGGAGGAAGGGAGUAAAGUUAAUACCUUUGCUCAUUGACGUUACCCGCAGAAGAAGCACCGGCUAACUCCGUGCCAGCAGCCGCGGUAAU
rnacentral:rRNA from 1 species